UUAUAUCAUGGAAGUAUUAUAUUGACAGGAACUCCAACAAGCGGACUUCAAACGUUUACAGUGCGAUGCCGCAAAAUCGUUAAGUAUCUGUUAAUUAACUCGACAUGUCUUAUGGAUGCAUGGGUUCCGAUCAAAUUUUUGGAACCUCGUGAAUGAUCGUAAUUACGGAACAUACCGAAAUAAACGGAUGUGUACUUAAUUGUCAAGGAAAUGAAUUUACCGACCAUGUGAAUGACAAAUAUGUCAGUUUUUACGGGUUUUGCUGCUUAAAAACAAAUAAAAAGAAACGAAACGAAAUCCCCGCGACUGUUUUCACCAAAUAAAAAUAAAACAAAAACAAAAAAAAUGAAGAGUAAAAUUACUCACAAGCCAUAGACAUUUCAGUUUAAGUUGCAAUCAAUUUUAAAAUAGUAAGAUUUUAAUUCGUGAGAGAGACGUUGACUAGACACGCGUAACUGUAAUAUACCUGUUAGGCUUGAAAAUCAUAAAAUUCUCAUGUAAAGUAAACGGAAAAGUUUUUAUCAGUAAUUAUUAUCAGCGUUUUACUGCUAACUUUGACAAAUAUUUUAAUGAAGUUUUUAAUGAAAGAAUUUCCAACAAAAAUUUAAUCCAAAAGUUGGCCGGGGAACGGGGUUAAAGAGCUUUGAUCCGAAAAAAAUAUAAUGAUUUAUUGUUUACUGAAAGUCCAAUGGCAAAUAUUUCAUGCAAUUUAACAAGAAACAGAAACAUAAAUUGCUUAGCAUACGAUGUAAGAUGUUUCAGAACUGUAAAAGCUUUUAAACACAUAAAUAAAUUCUAAAUUGGUUUCCAUGAUAAAAAAAAAAAAUAAACUGCUUAGGGCCCAUCAUGGUGAUCGUUCUUUAAAUGCAUCCAGAAAUAUUAAAAGCCAUCCGUAAAAAUAAGUCUGUCAGACGUCAGAUCGAGUAAUCUCGGACUACAUGUAGGUUGAAUGUUUAAGGUUGUUUACAACUUUGGAAUUAUCAUAAAAGGUGUAACAAUUCAUCUGCAUGUCUCGUAACCUGAUAUUGCUAUGUAGAGGUCAUCACAUGCGUGUAAUUAUUAACCUCUUUUAGUCUUUAAAACGUAUAUUUGAUAAAUAAGUUUAUAACAUUUUACGAUAGAGAAAACCAAAAAUAUUUGUGUAACACUCGAUAAAAGUUUACAAUCUUUAACUUAAAAUUUGAGUUAUCUGGCACCAUCUGGCACACUACAAGCGCAUCACAUUAUUUUCUGCAAACACUCUACUUCAGAAUCAUGUAAUUUUCAUAAUCGGAUAUUUCCCGAUUUCCAAGUUCCAAUGAUUAAAACAUACUCAACAAAACUAAAAAUAAGCUUGCCCUCUUUCCGAAUGCAGUUAAUUUUCUUAUGUCAUUCUGUUAAAUAUGGAAUAAUUUUUUCGAUCUUUUCAGCGUUGUUCUUCAUUUAUUGAACGGAAACAGGUGUUGUUAUUCAUGUGGCGAUUCACAAAUAACCACGGGAGUUUCCGUGUUUAUUUACAUUGGUAGGUAGAUAAGACAAUCGAUAUCAAAUCACGUGAUAAGACCAGCUUCAGUUAAAAGAACAGGCGAAGGCGGCAUCACAGAUACCCCACAAAGGAGUUAUCACGUACUUGACAAACUGAGUCGAAAACUGAGUCGGAACCUUUUAUUUUCUUAAAGAAAUCAGUGGGAUGGGAAUGUGCUAAUUUUUCGUUGGAGUUCCUGUCAAUAUAAUACUUCCAUGAUUAUAUCAAUAUGACCACAUUUACCACAGGGGUCUUAAUGAGAUGACAUUUAAGGAAGAUGUCAAUGAGAUAGCAACACAGAGACAUAAACAAACAAUAUCCAAAAUACAGUAGAUAUGGUUAAAUUCAGCUUUUCAAAG
rnacentral:lncRNA from 1 species